UACGGAGGGUGCAAGCGUUAUCCGGAUUUACUGGGUUUAAAGGGCGCGUAGGCGGUCAGCACAAGUCAGUUGUGAAAUCUCCGAGCUUAACUCGGAAAGGUCAACUGAUACUGUGCGACUAGAGUGCAGAAGGGGCAACUGGAAUUCUCGGUGUAGCGGUGAAAUGCGUAGAUAUCUGGAGGAACACCGGUGGCGAAGGCGGCAUCCUGGACCAAUAUUGACGCUGAGGAGCGAAAGCCAGGGGAGCAAACGGG
rnacentral:rRNA from 1 species